rnacentral:rRNA from 1 species
UACGGGGGGGAGCAAGCGUUGUUCGGAUUUACUGGGCGUAAAGGGCGCGUAGGCGGUCAGCACAAGUCAGUUGUGAAAUCUCCGGGCUUAACUCGGAAAGGUCAACUGAUACUGUGCGACUAGAGUGCAGAAGGGGCAACUGGAAUUCUCGGUGUAGCGGUGAAAUGCGUAGAUAUCGAGAGGAACACCUGCGGCGAAGGCGGGUUGCGUGGGCCGACACUGACGCUGAGGCGCGAAAGCUAGGGGAGCGAACGGG